UUCCAGCUCCAAUAGCGUAUACUAAGGUUGUUGCGGUUAAAAAGCUCGUAGUUGGAUCUUGGAAUGUGUUCAAGCGGGUCAGCUUCUGGCUGUUCGCUGCUUGACGUGUUCUUCUAUUUGGUUUUGGUGCGGUGCGCUUAACUGCGUGUCGCUCCCGGCCGAAACGUUUACCUUGAAAAAAUUAGAGUGUUCAAAGCAGACCUGUUUGAGUCUGAAUAUUCGUGCAUGGAAUAAUGAAAUAUGAAUUCGGUUCUAUUUUGUUGGUUUUCGGAACUCGAGUUAAUGAUCAAGAGGGACAGACGGGGGCAUUCGUACUCUGCCGUUAGAGGUGAAAUUCUUGGAUCGGCGGAAGACGCGCAACUGCGAAAGCAUUUGCCAAGAAUGUUUUCAUUA
rnacentral:rRNA from 1 species